UGGCGACCGGCGCGACGGUGAGUAACGCGUAUGAACCUUACCUAUCGAAGGGAGACGGCCCGGCGAAGUCGGAUUAAUACCCCAUGAAACAGGGGUCCCGCAUGGGAAUAUUUGUUAAAGAUUCAUCGCUGAUAGAUAGGCAUGCGUUCCAUUAGGCAGUUGGCGGGGUAACGGCCCACCAAACCGACGAUGGAUAGGGGUUCUGAGAGGAAGGUCCCCCACAUUGGUACUGAGACACGGACCAA
rnacentral:rRNA from 1 species